rnacentral:rRNA from 1 species
UACGUAGGGGGCAAGCGUUGUCCGGAAUUAUUGGGCGUAAAGAGCGCGUAGGCGGUCCGGUAAGUCAGCUGUGAAAGUCAAGGGCUCAACCCUUGAAAGCCGGUUGAUACUGUCGGGCUAGAGUCCGGAAGAGGAGAAUGGAAUUCCUGGUGUAGCGGUGAAAUGCGCAGAUAUCAGGAAGAACACCCGUGGCGAAGGCGGCAUCCUGGACCGGCAUUGACGCUGAGGCGCGAAAGCCAGGGGAGCAAACGGG